rnacentral:misc_RNA from 1 species
AUCACACUACAGAUAUUACAUUUGUCUCCAAAAGUAAGAAACAUGGUGCAGACAUAAACAACAAUCAAAAUCAAUCUCAAUAUGUGAUAAUUUUAUAUCGAACUCCAUAAUUGAAUACAAUUUCUCUUCACGUACAUUUGAUCUCCAAUUAAGCAGAUUAGAAUUCUUUAAAUAAUUGCAGCAAUUAACAUUAUUGUUAUAUUCAACAUAUAUCAUAUCUUAAGCUAACAACGUCAAUUCUUAUGGCGCAAAUUCAG